rnacentral:tRNA from 1 species
GGGGACUUAGCUCAGUGGUAGAGCGCUUGCCUAGCAAGCACAAGGCCCUGGGUUUAGUCCCCA